AUGGCAGAAGAGCAGAGCUGGAGGCCUUCCCUUCCUUCCACUUCUGGAGGUUGUAGUAUGUCUGAAGCCAGUAUCUAUAACAUAACCAAUAAAUUGAAAGGAAAUUUUAACUUAUUCGAAAUUAAAGAAGUAACUACGACACAACAUAUGAAUCAAAGAGCAGUUUCUCAAAGUGAAACACUGUCUGAGAACUUCCUAAGGCUAGCAGGUUCAAGAUAUAGCUACAUGCUCACUGAUAGAGACAUUUAAUCUGGGAUUUUCUAUAGUCUUUCAAUUUUGGGUUAUAACAACCACAAAAAAACAACUUACUGAGUCAUUACUCUAGUGGGAGUGAAACAUUUUUCUGAUUUAAGGAAGUAGAAAUCUCAAAGCUAAAUAUGUAAUCCUUAAAAAGUGGGAGAAAUUGAGAAUUCCUAUUUCUUGGAAAUAAUACUGUACUAAUACAUUUAGGAUCCAGCUAGACAAAGAAGCUGAACUAAAGGACCAUGAGUUUAAAUGUAGAAAAGAGAAAAUCAAACUUCAACUCUGUUUUGUGUGCCAAAAAAUGUAAUAUUAAGAAGAAAAUAGUGCCUUGAUUUCUGAGAAGCAGACUGUAUAUAAUUUUAAAACACUAAACUGAUAACCAAGAAACCCAAGAGCAAUAAAAAAAAAUGUUUCUGCCUGUAACA
rnacentral:lncRNA from 12 species